GCACAAACACCGAGUGCUCAUGAGCGCGCAUAUGAAGCUCCCGAUGAGAGGCUCCCACAGAUGCUAAACAAAGCUGCAAGGAGAAGGGAGCUGUGUGUGUGCGUUGCCACCCUAGAAAGGAACGGAUCCCAAGAGAAAUCUUGAAUGAAAAUUUUUCAUUGCAAUUUCUCCCGUCGGUUUUCAUUUGCUCCAAGUAGUAUUUUCGCCUUGGGUUGGCCUGUUGAAAAACAAUGAUCAUUUUUAUUUUCCUUCUGCAUUAAAUAUUUUUUCUUCCUUUCAAAACAAAACAACAAUUUAAAUUGAAACCCAAAGAAAUCUGUCAUUUUAAAUUGCUGUUUUGACAUAAAAGCAUUUCAUUUAUUUUUCUAGCCAAGAAUCGACAUUUCAAUUUGAACCACGACAAAAUUUUUCAUUUUCUUUCAAAGUAUCAAUUACAAAUGAAAAUAUUUUCAUUUCUUCUCCUCAGAAAGUCAGAAUUUUUCAUGCUUCCAAAAUUGCAGUGAUCAUUUGAUUGGAAGAGCUGAGGUUUAAGCAAAGACAUGAAUUAAACAGCAGAACUGGCAUUCAAUUCUGGAAGCUGGUAAAAAGUGUUUCUGUUUGCAGAGUAGAUGUCCGGAUUAAUCUCCUGUGACAGCAGAGGCCUUCCAGACCAGACACCUAUUCAGAAUGGCCAUCUAAUAUUCAGAGUGCUGUGGAUUGGCUUGGAACAGUUGGGUCAGGAUCCGAAUGACAGGGAAGAUCCACCACACGUGCCAGGACAGUGAGAGCUCAAAGAAUCAGGCCAUGAUUAUCAGAGCUGAGUGAAAGUCAAGAGAGGAAGAGCCUCAAGGAUCGUUCAAAGAUUAUCAGAUCAAGAUCAUCACAUUGUACCAAACGGGCUCUCAGUCCCCUGUGUGGGUACACACACCACGCAUGUAUGGAUUUUAUUUUAUCCCGGGCUGCCACAUGCAUUUGCCAGCCUGGGAGAUGCCUCUCAGAGCACUCCUGAUCACCCCGUGAGCCUGAGCUGGUGCGGAGGAGGGAAGCGGGGAUUUAUGCAGCGUAUAUGGGAAACCCCCACAGGGCCCCUUUGCAGAACUCUGGCUUCCAGGCCGGCUGCCAAGCAUUAACUACAAUACUUGCGCUUGUUUUUGACAACAGCACGCAGGUUGUAUUUCACCCAUUGCUAUUUUGGUUUUGGAGUUAUGGCAGAAAUGUCUCUGGGUGCUGGCCUGGUAUAAGCGGAGUGGGAGAUUUACUCUUAUUGUGUAAUGUCACCUUUCAGUCGGUGCUUGCAGUGAAAAUUAUGGAGUGUCACUUGUUCUUUUUAUUAAAUUUCAAGGCUGU
rnacentral:lncRNA from 7 species